rnacentral:rRNA from 1 species
UACGGGGGGGGCAAGCGUUGUUCGGAAUUACUGGGCGUAAAGGGUUCGUAGGUGGCUUGCUAAGUCAGACGUGAAAUCCCCCAGCUUAACUGGGGAACUGCGUCUGAUACUGGCGAGCUUGAGUGCAGGAGAGGAACGCAGAAUUCCAGGUGUAGCGGUGAAAUGCGUAGAUAUCUGGAGGAACACCGGUGGCGAAGGCGGCAUCCUGGACCAAUAUUGACGCUGAGGAGCGAAAGCCAGGGGAGCAAACGGG